AAAGCGGUCCUUUUAAGGACCACACAUUUGCUGUAAAACUGAAUA
rfam:Ixodes scapularis strain Wikel colony gcontig_1107728891792, whole genome shotgun sequence.